AACGGCCAUACCAUGCUGAAUAUACCGGUUCUCGUUAGAUCACCGAAGUCAUCGGUCGCGGUCAGUACUUGGGUGGGUGACCACCGCGGAACACUGCGUGCCGUU